rnacentral:misc_RNA from 1 species
GAUGAAGAACGCAGCGAAAUGCGAUACGUAGUGUGAAUUGCAGAAUUCAGUGAAUCAUCGAAUCUUUGAACGCACAUUGCACCUCUCGGUAUUCCGGGAGGUAUGCCUGUUCGAGCGUCAUUUGUACCCUCAAGCUCUGCUUGGUGUUGGGUGUUUGUUCCGCCUCUGUGUGUGAACUCGCCUCAAAACAAUUGGCAGCCGGCGUACUUGUUUCGGAGCGCAGCACAUUUUGCGAUCCAGAUCAACGUACAGCGGCAUCCAAGAAGCCUUAUUUAACGCUCUUGACCUCGGAUCAGGUAGGGAUACCCGCUGAGCUUAAGCAUAUCAAUAAUCGGAGGA